rnacentral:rRNA from 1 species
GUCGAGCGAUGAUUGAAGAUAGCUUGCUAUUUUUCAUGAAGAGCGGCGAACGGGUGAGUAACGCGUGGGAAAUCUGCCGAGUAGCGGGGGACAACGUUUGGAAACGAACGCUAAUACCGCAUAACAAUGAGAAUCGCAUGAUUCUUAUUUGAAAGAAGCAAUUGCUUCACUACUUGAUGAUCCCGCGUUGUAUUAGCUAGUUGGUAGUGUAAAGGACUACCAAGGCGAUGAUACAUAGCCGACCUGAGAGGGUGAUCGGCCACACUGGGACUGAGACACGGCCCAGACUCCUACGGGAGGCAGCAGUAGGGAAUCUUCGGCAAUGGGGGCAACCCUGACCGAGCAACGCCGCGUGAGUGAAGAAGGUUUUCGGAUCGUAAAACUCUGUUGUUAGAGAAGAACGUUAAGUAGAGUGGAAAAUUACUUAAGUGACGGUAUCUAACCAGAAAGGGACGGCUAACUACGUGCCAGCAGCCGCGGUAAUACGUACGUCCCAAGCGUUGUCCGGAUUUAUUGGGCGUAAAGCGAGCGCAGGUGGUUUCUUAAGUCUGAUGUAAAAGGCAGUGGCUCAACCAUUGUGUGCAUUGGAAACUGGGAGACUUGAGUGCAGGAGAGGAGAGUGGAAUUCCAUGUGUAGCGGUGAAAUGCGUAGAAUAUGGAGGAACACCGGAAGCGAAGCGGCUCUCUGGCCUGUAACUGACACUGAAGCUCGAAAGCGUGGGGAGCAUACAGGAUUAGAUACCCUGGUAGUCCACGCCGUAAACGAUGAAUGCUAGCUGUAUGGAGCUAUGAAUUCUCUGUAGCGCAGCUACGCAUUAGCACUCGCCCUGGGGAGUACGACCGCAAGGUGAACUCUAAGGAUUGACGGGGCCGCCCAACGGUGGAGCAUGUGGUUUAUUCUAGCACGCGAGAACUUACCAGUCUGGCUACUCUGCAUCCUAAAAAAAAGAGUCCUCCGGACCGGA